GUCCCACAUAGUAGGAUAUGCCUACAUUCCCAGCUACUUAGGAGACUGAGGUGGGAGGGUCAAUUGAGUCCAGGGGCUCUAGGCUAUAGUGUGCUAUGUUGACCCCAUGUAUGCACUAACUUUGGCAUCAAUAUGGUAACUUCCCAGGAGCAUAGGACCACAGAGCCUAAAGAGGGGUGAACAACCCAGGUCAAAAUGGAGCAGGUCAAAAUUCCUGUGCUGAUGAGUGGUGGGAUUGGGUUUGUGCCUGUGAAUAACCACUGCACUUCAGCCUGGCGAGACCCUGUUUCU
rnacentral:SRP_RNA from 1 species